AACGAACGCUGGCGGCAUGCCUAACACAUGCAAGUCGAACGAGACCUUCGGGUCUAGUGGCGCACGGGUGCGUAACGCGUGGGAACCUGCCCUUAGGUUCGGAAUAACUCCCCGAAAGGGGUGCUAAUACCGGAUAAUGUCUUCGGACCAAAGAUUUAUCGCGUUUGAUUGGUCCCGCGUUGGAUUAGCUAGUUGGUAGGGUAAUAGCCUACCAAGGCGACGAUCCAUAGCUGGUCUGAGAGGAUGGUCAGCCACACUGGGACUGGGACACGGCCCAGACUCCUACGGGAGGGAGCAGUGGGGGAUAUUGGAACAUGGGCGAAAGGCUGAUCCAGCAAUGCCGCGUGAGUGAUGAAGGCCUUAGGGUUGUAAAGCUCUAUUAACCGUGAUGAUAAUGACAGUACCGGGAGAAUAAGCCCCGGCUAACUCCGUG
rnacentral:rRNA from 1 species